AACGAGCCGAGUUAGAUGAAAUCUCGGUGUUUCUUUUCCUCCACAGACAAGAAAGAGAGGUCUACGACUCCCCCAGCUCUCCCACCCAGAAGAUAGCUGUGGUGAAACAGACCCAGAAAUCCAGCUACCUAAAAAACUUCUGCUGCUUUCUUGGGGACUCUGUGUGGCUGCUUGUCAGGUACUUGCUGUCCUGUGUCUGCUUGUGCUUAACACUUCUCUUGGUUUAUAAACACCUACCUGAUCCUACCUGGGCAUACCAGCUGGACAUACUAGACAGUAUCUGCCAUCAGCCAUGGACACACUAAGCAUAGAAUAUUUUACACUGCAAGCUCGAUUUCUGUAGGUUUGCCAUAUUGCUCUGGGAAGACCAGCAUUUUAAAAUAAA
ensembl:lncRNA